GAGGAGGCAGAGCUUAAACGAUGCCCAAUCGCCAAGGGCCUGUACACCUUUUGUGCGACCUACAGGUUUGUGGCAUCGGUGUACCUCCAGGCUGACAUAUUGCCACAUCUUGCACGGCUUUCAAAAGUCUUCCAAAAGGCAAAUGUCAACUUCCUUCACAUCAAGGAGCAGGUGUGUUAUGAUUAGUUUAUAAUAUUAGAGAGUUUAUCUUUAUGUUAUGUCUUUCUAUGAUGUUGGUUACCAUUGGAGACAUUAUACUGUAAGGUUAUAUUUACAGCAAUCUGAUGCCAACACUAAAAUCUCUUUAACUUUAGGUUCCCAUAACAAUUGAGACCCUCAGACGCAUCAAGGAUGCAGGUGAGACUCCACUCCCUGGGUCCUUCCUGUCCCGUCUCCACCAAGACCUUGAUGACCCCCUUGCACUCGGAGACUUCAUGAUCCAUCAUGAGGAGGAGAGGAACAGGAGAGGACAGGGUGUUGAAGACUUGCCACAGGAGGAGCAGUGGGCAAAAUUUGUGAAAGAGGUUGCCAGUCCUUACAUCAGUGGCCUGCUACACCACCUAGAAAGGAGAUUCCAGAAUCUCAAUAUCAUUGGGGCCUUCAGCAUUUUGGGACCACAGGCAGCUGCCCUAGCUGAUGAAGAGCAAAACACCCACCUUCAGACACUGGCAAAAAGGUUUCUUCCUGGAAAGGAGACCUUGAUAUUCCAGGAGUGGCAGUCCUUCAAAG
rnacentral:lncRNA from 1 species